rnacentral:rRNA from 1 species
UGGGGAAUAUUGCACAAUGGGCGCAAGCCUGAUGCAGCCAUGCCGCGUGUAUGAAGAAGGCCUUCGGGUUGUAAAGUACUUUCAGCGGGGAGGAAGGGAGUAAAGUUAAUACCUUUGCUCAUUGACGUUACCCGCAGAAGAAGCACCGGCUAACUCCGUGCCAGCAGCCGCGGUAAUACGGAGGGUGCAAGCGUUAAUCGGAAUUACAGGGCGUAAAGCGCACGCAGGCGGUCUGUCAAGUCGGAUGUGAAAUCCCCGGGCUCAACCUGGGAACUGCAUUCGAAACUGGCAGGCUAGAGUCUUGUAGAGGGGGGUAGAAUUCCAGGUGUAGCGGUGAAAUGCGUAGAGAUCUGGAGGAAUACCGGUGGCGAAGGCGGCCCCCUGGACAAAGACUGACGCUCAGGUGCGAAAGCGUGGGGAGCAAACAGG